UACGUAGGGGCCGAGCGUUAUCCGGAGUUAUUGGGCGUAAAGCGCGCGCAGGCGGCUUGGCGCGCCCGACGUGAAAGCCCCCGGCUUAACCGGGGAGAGUCGUCGGGGACGGCCGGGCUUGAGGGCGGGAGAGGGUGGUGGAAUUCCCGGUGUAGUGGUGAAAUGCGUAGAGAUCGGGAGGAACACCUGUGGCGAAGGCGGCCACCUGGGCCGACCCUGACGCUGAGGCGCGAAGGCGUGGGGAGCGAACGGG
rnacentral:rRNA from 1 species